rnacentral:rRNA from 1 species
UACGGAGGGUGCAAGCGUUAUCCGGAAUCACUGGGCGUAAAGGGCGCGUAGGUGGUCUGUUAAGUCUGAUGUGAAAGCCCACGGCUUAACCGUGGAGGGUCAUUGGAAACUGGUCGACUUGAGUGCAGAAGAGGGAAGUGGAAUUCCAUGUGUAGCGGUGAAAUGCGUAGAGAUAUGGAGGAACACCAGUGGCGAAGGCGGCUUCCUGGUCUGUAACUGGCACUGAGGCGCGAAAGCGUGGGGAGCAAACAGGAUUAGAUACCCG